rnacentral:rRNA from 1 species
AUUGAACGCUGGCGGCAGGCCUAACACAUGCAAGUCGGGCGAGCGGCGGACGGGUGAGUAAUGCUUGGGAAUCUAGCUUAUGGAGGGGGAUAACUACGGGAAACUGUAGCUAAUACCGCGUACCAUAGGAUGAGCCCAAGUGGGAUUAGGUAGUUGGUGGGGUAAAGACUCACCAAGCCGACGAUCCCUAGCUGGUCUGAGAGGAUGACCAGCCACCUGGGGACUGAGACACGGCCCAGACUCCUACGGGAGGCAGGAGUGGGGAAUAUUGCGCAAUGGGGGCAACCUGACGCAGCCAUGCCGCGUGAAUGAAGAAGGCCAUCGGGUUGUAAAGUUCUUUCGGUAGCGAGGCGUUAACUACAGAAGAAGCACCGGCUAACUCCGUGCAAGCAGCCGCGGUAAUAC